rnacentral:rRNA from 1 species
UACGAAGGGUGCAAGCGUUACUCGGAAUCACUGGGCGUAAAGCGUGCGUAGGCGGUUCGUUAAGUCUGCUGUGAAAGCCCUGGGCUCAACCUGGGAACUGCAGUGGAUACUGGCGGACUAGAGUGUGAUAGAGGAUGGUGGAAUUCCCGGUGUAGCGGUGAAAUGCGUAGAGAUCGGGGAAGGAACACCAGUGGCGAAAGGCGGC